GACGAACGCUGGCGGCGUGCUUAACACAUGCAAGUCGAGCGGUAAGGCCCUUUCGGGGGUACACGAGCGGCGAACGGGUGAGUAACACGUGGGUGACCUGCCCUCAGCUCUGGGAUAAGCCGUGGGAAACCGGGUCUAAGUACUGGAUAUGACUCCAUGACGCAGUGUUGUGGGGUGGAAAGCCUUGUGCGGCUGAGGAUGGG
rnacentral:rRNA from 1 species